CUACGGGCUGCUGCAGUGAGGAAUAUUGCACAAUGGAGGAAACUCUGAUGCAGCAACGCCGCGUGGAGGAUGACGCAUUUCGGUGUGUAAACUCCUUUUAUAUGUCAAGAAAAUGACGGUAGCAUAUGAAUAAGCUCCGGCUAACUCCGUGCCAGCAGCCGCGGUAAUACGGAGGGAGCAAGCGUUACUCGGAAUCACUGGGCGUAAAGGACGCGUAGGCGGGAUAGAAAGUCAGGUGUGAAAUCCUAUGGCUCAACCAUAGAACUGCACUUGAAACUUCUAACCUAGAGUAUGGGAGGGGAAGAUGGAAUUAGUGGUGUAGGGGUAAAAUCCGUAGAUAUCACUAGGAAUACCAAAAGCGAAGGCGAUCUUCUGGAACAAUACUGACGCUAAGGCGUGAAAGCGUGGGGAGCAAACAGGAUUAGAUACCCUCGUAGUC
rnacentral:rRNA from 1 species